rnacentral:rRNA from 1 species
AGAGUUUGAUCCUGGCUCAGAUUGAACGCUGGCGGCAGGCCUAACACAUGCAAGUCGAGCGGAUGAGAGGAGCUUGCUCCUUGAUUCAGCGGCGGACGGGUGAGUAAUGCCUAGGAAUCUGCCUGGUAGUGGGGGAUAACGUUCCGAAAGGAACGCUAAUACCGCAUACGUCCUACGGGAGAAAGCGGGGGAUCUUCGGGCCUCGCGCUAUCAGAUGAGCCUAGGUCGGAUUAGCUAGUUGGUGAGGUAAAGGCUCACCAAGGCGACGAUCCGUAACUGGUCUGAGAGGAUGAUCAGUCACACUGGAACUGAGACACGGUCCAGACUCCUACGGGAGGCAGCAGUGGGGAAUAUUGGACAAUGGGCGAAAGCCUGAUCCAGCCAUGCCGCGUGUGUGAAGAAGGUCUUCGGAUUGUAAAGCACUUUAAGUUGGGAGGAAGGGUAUUCACCUAAUACGUGAGUAUUUUGACGUUACCGACAGAAUAAGCACCGGCUAACUUCGUGCCAGCAGCCGCGGUAAUACGAAGGGUGCAAGCGUUAAUCGGAAUUACUGGGCGUAAAGCGCGCGUAGGUGGUUCGUUAAGUUGGAUGUGAAAGCCCCGGGCUCAACCUGGGAACUGCAUCCAAAACUGGCGAGCUAGAGUACGGUAGAGGGUGGUGGAAUUUCCUGUGUAGCGGUGAAAUGCGUAGAUAUAGGAAGGAACACCAGUGGCGAAGGCGACCACCUGGACUGAUACUGACACUGAGGUGCGAAAGCGUGGGGAGCAAACAGGAUUAGAUACCCUGGUAGUCCACGCCGUAAACGAUGUCAACUAGCCGUUGGAAUCCUUGAGAUUUUAGUGGCGCAGCUAACGCAUUAAGUUGACCGCCUGGGGAGUACGGCCGCAAGGUUAAAACUCAAAUGAAUUGACGG